rfam:Lupinus angustifolius cultivar Tanjil contig_4178, whole genome shotgun sequence.
AGGUACAAUCAUACUAUCACUAAUGCACCGGAUCUUAUCAGAACUCUACACUUAAGAGUGUUUGGGCAAGAGUAGUACUAGGAUGGGUGACCUCUUGGGAAGUCCUUGUGUUGCACCUC